GGUCCUAUGCCUUUAUGACCAACUGGGGUCGUUGGCUCUCAGGCGCAAACGUAACAGUGGAACCUGUGCUUCAGUUGUAAACAAAGCGUAUGCAAGGACGAAAGUUACACAUACAAAUGGUUCCCAUCAAUGAGCACCUUACAAAUGUUGGCCUUUGUUCAGUUGCAAGUC
rnacentral:lncRNA from 1 species